AUGAACGCUAGCGGCAGGCUUAAUACAUGCAAGUCGAGGGGCAGCAUGACUGUAGCAAUACAGUUGAUGGCGACCGGCAAACGGGUGCGGAACACGUACAGAACCUUCCUUCGAGCGGGGAAUAGCCCAGAGAAAUUUGGAUUAAUACCCCAUAGCAUAUUGAUGAGGCAUCUCAUUAAUAUUAAAGAUUUAUCACUUGAAGAUGGCUGUGCGGCUGAUUAGGUAGUUGGCGGGGUAACGGCCCACCAAGCCUUCGAUCAGUAACUGGUGUGAGAGCACGACCAGUCACACGGGCACUGAGACACGGGCCCGACUCCUACGGGAGGCAGCAGUAAGGAAUAUUGGUCAAUGGACGAAAGUCCGAACCAGCCAUGCCGCGUGAAGGAUGAAUGCCCUCUGGGUUGUAAACUUCUUUUAUAUGGGACGAAAAAAGAUCUUUCUAGGUCACCUGACGGUACCAUAUGAAUAAGCACCGGCUAACUCCGUG
rnacentral:rRNA from 1 species